rnacentral:rRNA from 1 species
UACGGGGGGGGCAAGCGUUGUUCGGAAUUACUGGGCGUAAAGGGCGCGUAGGUGGCCAUCUAAGUCAGACGUGAAAUCCCCCGGCUUAACCUGGGAACUGCGUCUGAUACUGGACGGCUUGAGUAUGGGAGAGGAACGUAGAAUUCCAGGUGUAGCGGUGAAAUGCGUAGAUAUCUGGAGGAAUACCGGUGGCGAAGGCGGCGUUCUGGACCAUUACUGACACUGAAUCGCGAAAGCUAGGGGAGCAAACGGG